rnacentral:rRNA from 1 species
GGGUUGUGAGGUUAAGCGACUAAGCGUACACGGUGGAUGCCCUGGCAGUCAGAGGCGAUGAAGGGCGUGCUAAUCUGCGAUAAGCGCCGGUAAGGUGAUAUGAACCGUUAUAACCGGCGAUACCCGAAUGGGGAAACCCAGUGUGAUUCGUCACACUAUCAUUAACUGAAUCCAUAGGUUAAUGAGGCGAACCGGGGGAACUGAAACAUCUAAGUACCCCGAGGAAAAGAAAUCAACCGAGAUUCCCCCAGUAGCGGCGAGCGAACGGGGAGGAGCCCAGAGCCUGAAUCAGCAUGUGUGUUAGUGGAAGCGUCUGGAAAGGUGCGCGAUACAGGGUGACAGCCCCGUACACAAAAGCGCAUGUGCUGUGAGCUCGAUGAGUAGGGCGGGACACGUGGUAUCCUGUCUGAAUAUGGGGGGACCAUCCUCCAAGGCUAAAUACUCCUGACUGACCGAUAGUGAACCAGUACCGUGAGGGAAAGGCGAAAAGAACCCCGGCGAGGGGAGUGAAAAAGAACCUGAAACCGUGUACGUACAAGCAGUGGGAGCACAGGUUUACCUGUGUGACUGCGUACCUUUUGUAUAAUGGGUCAGCGACUUAUAUUCUGUAGCAAGGUUAACCGUAUAGGGGAGCCGUAGGGAAACCGAGUCUUAACCGGGCGUUAAGUUGCAGGGUAUAGACCCGAAACCCGGUGAUCUAGCCAUGGGCAGGUUGAAGGUUGGGUAACACUAACUGGAGGACCGAACCGACUAAUGUUGAAAAAUUAGCGGAUGACCUGUGGCUGGGGGUGAAAGGCCAAUCAAACCGGGAGAUAGCUGGUUCUCCCCGAAAGCUAUUUAGGUAGCGCCUCGUGAAUUCAUCUCCGGGGGUAGAGCACUGUUUCGGCUAGGGGGCCAUCCCGGCUUACCAACCCGAUGCAAACUGCGAAUACCGGAGAAUGUUAUCACGGGAGACACACGGCGGGUGCUAACGUCCGUCGUGAAGAGGGAAACAACCCAGACCGCCAGCUAAGGUCCCAAAGUCAUGGUUAAGUGGGAAACGAUGUGGGAAGGCCCAGACAGCCAGGAUGUUGGCUUAGAAGCAGCCAUCAUUUAAAGAAAGCGUAAUAGCUCACUGGUCGAGUCGGCCUGCGCGGAAGAUGUAACGGGGCUAAACCAUGCACCGAAGCUGCGGCAGCGAACGUAUCACCCAAGACAACUUUACGGAGUUGACGAUUGACGGAGCGAAGCGACGUCAAAGCGUUCAUUAAAGUCGAGUUGGCUUAGGGAUACGUUCGUUGGGUAGGGGAGCGUUCUGUAAGCCUGUGAAGGUGUGUCGUGAGGCAUGCUGGAGGUAUCAGAUGUGCGAAUGCUGACAUAAGUAACGAUAAAGCGGGUGAAAAGCCCGCUCGCCGGAAGACCAAGGGUUCCUGUCCAACGUUAAUCGGGGCAGGGUGAGUCGACCCCUAAGGCGAGGCCGAAAGGCGUAGUCGAUGGGAAACGGGUUAAUAUUCCCGUACUUGGUGUUACUGCGAAGGGGGGACGGAGAAGGCUAUGUUGGCCGGGCGACGGUUGUCCCGGUUUAAGCGUGUAGGUGUGUGUUCCAGGUAAAUCCGGUUCACUUUAACACUGAGGCGUGACGACGAGGCACUACGGUGCUGAAGCAACAAAUGCCCUGCUUCCAGGAAAAGCCUCUAAGCAUCAGGUAACACGAAAUCGUACCCCAAACCGACACAGGUGGUCAGGUAGAGAAUACCAAGGCGCUUGAGAGAACUCGGGUGAAGGAACUAGGCAAAAUGGUGCCGUAACUUCGGGAGAAGGCACGCUGACACGUAGGUGAAGUGAUUUACUCAUGGAGCUGAAGUCAGUCGAAGAUACCAGCUGGCUGCAACUGUUUAUUAAAAACACAGCACUGUGCAAACACGAAAGUGGACGUAUACGGUGUGACGCCUGCCCGGUGCCGGAAGGUUAAUUGAUGGGGUCAGCGUAAGCGAAGCUCCUGAUCGAAGCCCCGGUAAACGGCGGCCGUAACUAUAACGGUCCUAAGGUAGCGAAAUUCCUUGUCGGGUAAGUUCCGACCUGCACGAAUGGCGUAAUGAUGGCCAGGCUGUCUCCACCCGAGACUCAGUGAAAUUGAACUCGCUGUGAAGAUGCAGUGUACCCGCGGCAAGACGGAAAGACCCCGUGAACCUUUACUAUAGCUUGACACUGAACAUUGAGCCUUGAUGUGUAGGAUAGGUGGGAGGCUUUGAAGUGUGGACGCCAGUCUGCAUGGAGCCGACCUUGAAAUACCACCCUUUAAUGUUUGAUGUUCUAACGUGGACCCGUAAUCCGGGUUGCGGACAGUGUCUGGUGGGUAGUUUGACUGGGGCGGUCUCCUCCUAAAGAGUAACGGAGGAGCACGAAGGUUGGCUAAUCCUGGUCGGACAUCAGGAGGUUAGUGCAAUGGCAUAAGCCAGCUUGACUGCGAGCGUGACGGCGCGAGCAGGUGCGAAAGCAGGUCAUAGUGAUCCGGUGGUUCUGAAUGGAAGGGCCAUCGCUCAACGGAUAAAAGGUACUCCGGGGAUAACAGGCUGAUACCGCCCAAGAGUUCAUAUCGACGGCGGUGUUUGGCACCUCGAUGUCGGCUCAUCACAUCCUGGGGCUGAAGUAGGUCCCAAGGGUAUGGCUGUUCGCCAUUUAAAGUGGUACGCGAGCUGGGUUUAGAACGUCGUGAGACAGUUCGGUCCCUAUCUGCCGUGGGCGCUGGAGAACUGAGGGGGGCUGCUCCUAGUACGAGAGGACCGGAGUGGACGCAUCACUGGUGUUCGGGUUGUCAUGCCAAUGGCACUGCCCGGUAGCUAAAUGCGGAAGAGAUAAGUGCUGAAAGCAUCUAAGCACGAAACUUGCCCCGAGAUGAGUUCUCCCUGAGACUUAGAGUCUCCUGAAGGAACGUUGAAGACGACGACGUUGAUAGGCCGGGUGUGUAAGCGCAGCGAUGCGUUGAGCUAACCGGUACUAAUGAACCGUGAGGCUUAACCUUACAACGCCGAAG